rnacentral:rRNA from 1 species
AUUGAACGCUGGCGGAAUGCUUUACACAUGCAAGUCGAACGGUAGAGGGGGCAACCCCUUGAGAGUGGCGAACGGGUGAGUAAUAUAUCGGAACGUGCCCAGUCGUGGGGAUAACGUAGCGAAAGUUACGCUAAUACCGCAUACGAUCUAAGGAUGAAAGCGGGGGAUCGCAAGACCUCGCGCGAUUGGAGCGGCCGAUAUCAGAUUAGGUAGUUGGUGGGGUAAAGGCUCACCAAGCCAACGAUCUGUAGCUGGUCUGAGAGGACGACCAGCCACACUGGAACUGAGACACGGUCCAGACUCCUACGGGAGGCAGCAGUGGGGAAUUUUGGACAAUGGACGCAAGUCUGAUCCAGCCAUUCCGCGUGCAGGAUGAAGGCCCUCGGGUUGUAAACUGCCUUUGUACGGAACGAAACGGUGAGCUCUAAUACAGUUUGCUAAUGACGGUACCGUAAGAAUAAGCACCGGCUAACUACGUGCCAGCAGCCGCGGUAAAGUGACU